rnacentral:rRNA from 1 species
UACGAAGGGGGGCUAGCGUUGCUCGGAAUCACUGGGCGUAAAGCGCACGUAGGCGGGUUGCUAAGUCAGGGGUGAAAUCCUGGAGCUCAACUCCAGAACUGCCUUUGAUACUGGCGGCCUUGAGUCCGGGAGAGGUGAGUGGAACUGCGAGUGUAGAGGUGAAAUUCGUAGAUAUUAGGAAGAACACCAGUGGCGAAGGCGGCUCACUGGUCCGGUACUGACGCUGAGGUGCGAAAGCGUGGGGAGCAACAGG